GACGAACGCUGGCGGCGUGCUUAACACAUGCAAGUCGAACGGAAAGGCCCUGCUUUUGUGGGGUGCUCGAGUGGCGAACGGGUGAGUAACACGUGAGUAACCUGCCCUUGACUUUGGGAUAACUUCAGGAAACUGGGGCUAAUACCGGAUAGGAGCUCCUGCUGCAUGGUGGGGGUUGGAAAGCUUCGGCGGUUGGGGCUGGACUCGCGGCUUAUCAGCUUGUUGGUGGGGUAGUGGCUUACCAAGGCUUUGACGGGUAGCCGGCCUGAGAGGGUGAACGGGCUCAUUGGGACUGAGAGACGGACCAGACUCCUACGGGAGGCAGCAGUGGGGAAUAUUGCACAAUGGGGGGAAGCCUGAUGAGGCAGCGCCGCGUGCGGGAUGACGGCCUUCGGGUGGUAAACCGCUUUCGCCUGUGACGAAGCGGGAGUGACGGUAAUGGGUAAAGAAGCACCGGCUAACUACGUG
rnacentral:rRNA from 1 species